AUUGAACGCUGGCGGCAGGCCUAACACAUGCAAGUCGAGCGGUAGAGAGGUGCUUGCACCUCUUGAGAGCGGCGGACGGGUGAGUAAUGCCUAGGAAUCUGCCUGGUAGUGGGGGAUAACGCUCGGAAACGGACGCUACUACCGCAUACGUCCUACGGGAGAUAGCAGGGGACUUUCGGUCCUUGCGCUAUCAUAUGAGCCUAGGGCGGCUUAGCUAGUUGUUGAGGUAAUGGCUCACCAAGGCGACGAUACGUAACUGGUCUGAGAGGAUGAUCAGUCACACUGGAACUGAGACACGGUCCAGACUCCUACGGGAGGCAGCAGUGGGGAAUAUUGGACAAUGGGAGAAAGCCUGAUCCAGCCAUGCCGCGUGUGUGAAGAAGGUCUUCGGAUUGUAAAGCACUUUAAGUUGGGAGGAAGGGUCGUUACCUAAUACGUGACGAUUUUGACGUUACCGACAGAAUAAGCACCGGCUAACUCUGUGCCAGCCGCCGCUGUAAUAC
rnacentral:rRNA from 1 species